GGGCUCGUAGCUCAGUUGGCAGAGCAUCCGGCUCAUAACCGGACGGUCGGGGGUUCGAUUCCCUCCGAGCCCACCA
rnacentral:tRNA from 2 species